UACGGGGGGAGCAAGCGUUGUUCGGAUUUACUGGGCGUAAAGGCGCGUAGGCAGUCGUGACAAGUCACUUGUGAAAUCUCCGGGCUUAACUCGGAACGGUCAAGUGAUACUGUCGGACUAGAGUACAGAAGGGGCAACUGGAAUUCUCGGUGUAGCGGUGAAAUGCGUAGAUAUCGAGAGGAACACCUGCGGCGAAGGCGGGUUGCUGGGCUGAUACUGACGCUGAGGCGCGAAAGCCAGGGGAGCGAACGGG
rnacentral:rRNA from 1 species